ACCUUUGGUAGAACUAUUAUGAUGGAUUCAAUACAAUCCAUCUAUGGUGCAAAUCAAUGAUAAAGAACUCUCAUGCGUCUACCAUGUAUGACUGUAGAAUUGCUGGUGUAAGCAGAACUAUAGCAGAGCAAAUUUCAACAUGCCCUUGGCCACCUGGGUUGUAGGGGACACUUUACUUUUUGCAUUGUGCUGUGACCAUUUCAUGCAUAAUCUUGGAUCUUCAUACUAUUUGACAACCAAAAGAAAGAAAAGGGAAUGGAUAUAUAUAUACACACAUAUAUUAUAUCUACAUAUACAUACAUAUGUAUAUGCCUACAGUACAUUAGCAAUGCUGGAAAUAGCUGAUGCCACAAAAUGCAGCCUGCAUGCAUGCAGAAGUUUAUAGCUGGCCCUUCAUCUGCAUCGAUUGGUGUUGAAGGUCCUUGGUAUGUUUCGACAGCCCCAUCCUUGAUGCUUCUACACUGUUGGGUGCAACAUCCUGUCCUGCAGCAGCAGGAAAAAUGGUAUGAGAAGCUUCAUUAUGCUUGGAGCACAUUUUCGUGCCAUUUGCCAAUGCUGUAAAAUUGUGUAAAAAUGUCAGCUGAGAACUGGAAAUAAAACAGGGACAUAUUAAUAUACACGCCAGACUGUGGAUUGUAGUAUGUUGAAUUAGCCUAAGAUGUCUAAAUUGAAAGAACAGCAACAAAAUGCCUUUGUGUAUGUGAUUUCAUUAUUCUCCCAACAACAUUGCUGAAAUGGGAUUAGUAUCAUUUUAUAGAAGAGACUUAAGCAUAGAGUAAUGAGUUGCUUUGCUCAGGGUCACACAGCCAGUAAAUGGAUCUCUGGGGCUAGCACCCGUGUCAUCAGUCCUCUGACAGUCUCAAUCUAUUGUGCUGCCUCUCUCAGGUUAGCAGGCAUUAAUUUCAGGUUGAAGAAUCAAGCUACAAAUCUGAAGUUCUUAACUUUGGGAACUGUUGAAAUAAGUCAACUCUAUAUUGGUUUCUUAUUGUAUUUUCUCUCAAGUUCUCUAAUUCUCUUGCCCAUUUAAAAUACAAUAAAAGGUGUCAUCAGGAUUCAGAAAUAUGGCUCUUACCUAGUUCUUUUGAAUUACUGCUUUAUAAUUCUUACCUGGUAUUUUUAAUUUGGAAAAAAAAAGUUAGACACCCUAAUUUGAACGAAAAUGUUAGAAAUUUGGUUGCACAAAAAUAGGCAAGACAUUUCCUUAUCUGAUUUCUGGAUGAUUACUAAGUAACUGAAACCACGGGUGUGUGUGUGUGUGUGUGUGUGUGUAGGCCAACAAAAAGGGCUUCUUUCAAUUACUGCUCUGCAUGAAUUUUUGAUAGUUUUACUUAUUUCCUAAAAGCUGGUAACAUUUAUAGAAUAGUAUUUAACAUGAAGAUUUUAAAGUUAGUUGCUACUUUGGCAUUUUAAGUUUACAUUAACUUACUGUUAUGUUGACUAGAUAAGGACUAUCACCUCACAGCUGAAUUUCACUUUUCUUUAAAAAUUUAAUAUUAAAAUGUUUUCAUCUCUUAAUUGUUGGCUUGCUUGCAUGGAUCAUUCAUUAAAUAAUUUUUUAUUUGCUAGAUACCCAUAAUAUCUGCCGAACAUCUGACUAGCCACAAGUAUGUUACCCAGAUGUAGAAUUUUCAUCACUAAACAAUCAUGCUAAAGAGGAAAGGACAGUGUGCUUGGUUAGAGUAAAGGACGAGGUCAUUAGCCAUAUUGUAUAUAUCGUCAAGCAACACACACAAAAGUUCCUCAGCCACAAGACAUCCACAUAUUGCAUGUUAACCAGAAGAAAAGACAACAUUUUCCGGAAAUCCACUGCACACUGUUGCCUAUACACUUUGUACAUUUAAUUGAUAUUUGUGCUGAGGUGAUAUUCCUGUCUAAAAGAACAACAUUGUCUUUCUUUUCUAGCACAGAGUUAUGCAUUCAAAGAUGCAUACCUAAUUAGUUUCCUAUAUAUUAAUGCCAUCUUGAAAAGACAGACUAUGGUGUAACCAUGAUUCUAUUAUGUAUUGGUACGUCUGUAGACCAAGAUAUAAUUUUUUAAAAAUAAGUUUAUUUCUUUCAAGGUUUACAAAUAACAAAGGUGCACCUUGUGUUUAAAAUUGCCAUUAUAGAUGAGAGCGUGCAUGCACAGUCAUUUUUGUUUAAGAGUAAUAUUUUUAAUGUAAUAGAUUGUAAGACGUGGUGAGGGAGGGAUCUGACAGAGAUGAAUGUGCCAAGCAAAACCACAACUGUGUAUAUUUUAAAGCACAUCAUGGCUUUAAGUACCAUGUUGUUAAGGAUUCUCAUGAAGUGCCAUAGACUGUACAUCAAAUUAGAGUAUUAUUUCUUCAGUGUUUGUUAUUGUUUUCAGAGCCACAUUUUGUUGCAUAUUUGCUAGUACUAAUCAGUCAAAGGGCACCAUUCUUUUUUUUUUUUUUUUGAAACCAAAGCUGUCUCAGAAAUGGCCAAUUUAACUUUACAGUAACAAUAGACAGCACAACACAAACUCUCUCAAUACAGAUAAACUCACACAUACUGGAGAUAUAUAUAUAAUAGAUAUAUAUAAAAUUAUUUUAAUGCAUUGUAGUGUAAUAUUUAUGCAUACUAUACUGUAUAACAUGUUAUUCAAAAGGGAUUGCCAUUUCUGAGACACAGUAACAAAAAAUGUUUGAGGAAAUUAUUUUGCUUCUAUUUAUAGCCUCUGUCAAAAGUCAAAAGACUAUAAAUGCUUUGCAAAAAUGGUUUCACGUUUGCUUAAAUGCUUCAUCACAGUCACAUUCAAAAUAGUGACUCUAAACAAAGAAGAAAGCAGCACUGUCAUCAGAUGCAUGAUAAACCAAAAUAUGAAAAUGGGAAAUGUUUAAUUAACCUAGUAAUUGGGUGGGUUAAGUACAUGGGUGAAUUUUAUAUGUGAUUUUUGUUUUGUUUUGUUUUGUUCAGAUUAACUGCUUAUAGCCUUAGAAAGCCUUUUACAAAAUUAAAAAAAAAUAGAUGUGCAUUCAGUUUUUAAGAAUGGAAUCAUCCAAAGGAAUUCCUUUUUUUGAGGUUUGGAUGUUGCAGCUAGUAAAGGAUAUUUUUGCUCUGUUCAGCAGUUCUAAAAAUUGCUGAAGUAGGGGCCAGGUCACUGGUAGUUAUAGUAUGGAAUGGGAGAAGUGAAAGUUCAGUUAUAGAACUUUCCAUACUUCCAAGUUUACUGCAAGUUUUUAUGCUUGAGAGAGAUGCUUUCUAAUAUAAGACUGAUGUGUUGAUUUUACUGAUUGUACUGUACAUCUAUUAAAGCCUUAGAUUAUUACAUUACGGGUUGGAACCCAUACCAAUGUAAUUUCAAUCGUGUUAAGAAAGUAAUGGUGACUUCACAUGUUAUUGUAGUUAGUUACAUUAUAGAAUAUUACUUAUUUUUCUUGUUAAAAUGUAGUUUUUCAUUUCCUACAUUUAUUAGAUUUUCAUUUUCUAUUAACAAUUGAAUACCAUUUCAGUUUAUAGACUAUGGUUUUAUUAGAUUUUACCAAUGAAUUUUUCAAAAUACAAAAAAAAAGUAGUUUUUCCUUCAUAACAUACUCAGUUUUGAAUUACAUGUAGUGUCAUAUGAAUAUUCGUAUUGUUAACUAAAUGAUUUAUAUUUUACUGAUUUAAUAUUACAGUGUAAGAAUGUCAGUCAUUGUUAGUUCUUGUCUAGUUUUCAUUAAAAGAACAAAGAUCUUUUAUAUGGAUAUCUUAUAAAUAUAUAAUCAUUGCUAAGUAAGAAGUUAAGUUGUUGCUAUCGCAACAAUCCUGGCAGACAAUUGAGUAAUAUUUUGAUGAUUUAUUUUGUUUGUAAUUAGUUAUUAUAAGAAGAUCUAGAUCCUAGAUAUUAGAAUAAAAUUUAUUUUCUACUGUAUCCAUUUCAAAUGUUAAAAUAUUGUUUAAUAUUUUUGAAAUCCCUGAGUAUCAGGCCUUGUUAUAAAUAAGCUGCAUAAUCAAUAAAUAGAACAAGGGACUUUUUGUUGAUAAUCCAAAUACUCAAAGUUUACGUAAUGAAAAUUAUAGCGUGUGUGCAAACUCUUGAGGGUUGAUUAUGCUGCAAUUUAGCAUGUUGGAACGUCUAGGGAGAAGGUUGACUUUUUGCACUUCUGUAUAUAGUCAAAAGAGAGAAACCUGUAUAAUAGUAAGAUCUUAUUUUGAAUAAAAACGUCUAUAAUUACAAGGAGUUUUGUUAAGGCUAAUACAAUGACAGACUGAGCAAAAUUGCUUGCAAAAGUGGCACAGAGUUAGCACUCCAUACCCCUUCAAACAUGUUGCUUUGCUUUCUUGUGGACAGCUUGUAGUUUGCCAGGAUUUUUUCAGCUGGAAAGAUACGCCAUCCUUUCAAACCCUCAUGACUGACAAAAACUCCAUGGGGCCAAAUCUGCCUGAAGAUCAUUACCAAAAAUAGCAGGUACUUCUACCAUUAAGGUGAAAUCAUGGAUCAGAUAUUCCUUACAUUUUUCAAAACUACUGCAUGUUUAAAACUUCAACAAAAAAAGAGAGAAAGAACUAUACUAAGAACAUAUAUUAUUCAGAUCAGUUUCUGCCAAUUUCAGUGGUUUAUUGUUCACAAAAAAAUCUUCAAAACAAGUAUUGACUUUCACAAAAUUUAAAUCAUAAACAGGCAAACCAAACAGCACACUGUAGCUAUAGUUGUUAUGUGAUUGUUUUUUAAUUGCUGUAGGAUCCUGUUCUUUCAGCAGGUGAAAAAUAAAACGCAGUUCAAAUUUCAUGGUUUUAAUUUUCAACUCAGAAGCACUCAAAAAUGCAAAAUGUGAUAAUGGGCACUUGUUAAAAGAAUUAGUGUAUCCAGCCUUCACUCCAGCUGGUUAAAAAUGUUGCACUUAUCAGCAACCCUACCACUUUCAUCUGCUGAAAGGACAAAUGUGCUUGGUUUUACUAUUAUGUAAUCACAACUUACUUUCUGCUUGUAGUUGCUUAAAAUUAUGUAUUUUGUCUUGGGCUGCAAUUUGUUUUAUGCUUAUUUUAUUAUUACUGCAGUAGUUGACUUUGCUGUAUGGAAAAAUAAAGUGAAAUUGCCCUAAUAAAACUUCUCUUUCUUAAGUA
rnacentral:sRNA from 1 species